AGACUACGAAAGUAAAAUAAAAAGAGACGGAAGUCUGUGUCUCGCAUCUAUUUUUUAUUGCACCGUUUAAACUAAAUAAAAUAUAGACAACAACAUCAAAAUAUUUGGUAGGAAGACACGAUUUAUUCAACAGAAAUAUAGACAACAACAUUAAAGUAUUUGGUACAUGAAAUCACUAUCCAAUAAGUGACAGUUCGUUGGCCUUCUCAUUUUUUUAUAAAA
rnacentral:misc_RNA from 1 species